AUUGAACGCUGGCGGCAUGCCUUACACAUGCAAGUCGAACGGCAGCACGGGUGCUUGCACCUGGUGGCGAGCGGCGAACGGGUGAGUAAUACAUCGGAACGUACCUUAUCGUGAGGGAUAACGCAGCGAAAGUUGCGCUAAUACCGCAUACGCCCUGAGGGGGAAAGCGGGGGACCGUAAGGCCUCGCGAGAUUAGAGCGGCCGAUGUCUGAUUAGCUUGUUGGUGAGGUAAAAGCUCACCAAGGCGAUGAUCAGUAGCUGGUCUGAGAGGACGAUCAGCCACACUGGGACUGAGACACGGCCCAGACUCCUACGGGAGGCAGCAGUGGGGAAUUUUGGACAAUGGGGGCAACCCUGAUCCAGCAAUGCCGCGUGAGUGAAGAAGGCCUUCGGGUUGUAAAGCUCUUUUGUCAGGGAAGAAACAGCAGCUCUAACACAGUCUGCGAAUGACGGUACCUGAAGAAUAAGCACCGGCUAACUACGUGCCAGCAGCCGCCGUAA
rnacentral:rRNA from 1 species